CACUCACUGCUCCAGCCACUCACAGCUGUACCUCAGGAGCCAGACACCAUCUGCUUCACUCCUGCCCAGACUUUGCCACUCACACACAACAGCUGCUUCAUCUUAAGGAUCAGCGAUGUGGAACCAGCUGUACCACCACCACCACCACCACCACCAGGGGAGCCACUCACUGCCACAAGAAGGAAGGAAGCAGGAAGAAGAAGAAGAAGAAGAAGAAAAAGAAGAGGACACACAGAGAGAGAAGAGGAGGAAGAAGAAGAGGAAGGAUUUGUAAUAUGGCAGACAUCAAACCAAUGGAGCUGACCAGCCGCCCCAGAGAGCCCAGCGACCACACCCUGCAAGACAGCCUGCUCAUCCUGGGACACACACAGCCUCACCGUUCAGGCAGGAGACUGACGGGACGAGAACAACAACAACAACAACAACAACAACAAGAGGAGGAGGGGGAGGAGGGUGGUACACAGGAGUGACUGGUGGGUGUUUGGUGACCCAGGGCGUUGAGGGAAGCCAGACGCUCUCCUAUAGGGCUUCAGGCAGAUACAACUCCCUCAUCACCUGCUUCACUCCAGCCCAGACUUUGCCACUCACACCCAACAGCUUCAUCUUAAGGUGGGACUGGUUAGGUUACGUUAAGUUUAGGGUAUCUUAAAACACAGGAUAGGCGGGAACUUAGGGUAUGAAUUCAUAAAGAAUGACCUCACUUUGUUGUAUAGAAAGUCUCAUUAGUAAGGAAGCAUAGAUGAGUUUUCUGAGUCAAGACCUGUAGUAACUGUUUGGGGUUUUGUUAGGCUAUGUUGGGUUAAGUUUAGGGUAUCUUCAGACACAUGAUAGCCAGCACCUUAUGGUAUAAAUCAACAAGAGUCAAGGUCUUUAGUGUUUGUUUUGGUUUUGUUAGGUUAUGUUAAGUUAAGUUUAGGGUAUCCUCAAACACAGGAUAGCUAUCACCUUAUAGUAUAAUUCAAUGAAGAAUGACCUCAUUUCGUUGUAUAGAAAGCCUCAUUAGUAAGGAAGCAUAUAUGAAUUCUCUGAGUCAAGACCUAUAGUAACUGUUUGGGGUUUUGUUAGGUUAAGUUAAGGGUAUACCUUCAAACACAUGACAGCCAGCACCUUAUGGUAUAAAUCAACAAAGAAUGACCUCACUUUCUCCUAUCCAAAUCCUAUGCAUGUUUAGUAAGGCACCAACUUCUACUGAUACAAAUUAAUUUAUUGACAUCUUUAUUCUUUAAUGUGUGUGUCUCAGAACACUGAAGGUAAAUCUCAACGUCAAUCAUAACAAAAUCCCUUAUGCAAGAUUUAAGCAGCAUUUUCACUCUUUCAUCCCUAUACUGUCCAAAUCCCUUGUGCAAGAUUUAAGCAGCAUUUUCACUCUUUCAUCCCUAUACUGUCCAAAUCCCUUGUGCAAGAUUUAAGCAGCAUUUUCACUC